rnacentral:lncRNA from 1 species
UGUAUCAUAUCAUUCAAAACAUAUUUGAUUCAUAACAAAUGGAGCAUAGAGUAAUUGGAGCAUAUCAAUGGCAGAUAGGACAUUUCAAAACAUAUCAGUUCAUAGCAAAUGGAGCACAGAGUAAUUGGAGCAUAUCAAUGGCAGAUAGGACAUUUCAGAACAUAUCAGUUCAUAGCAAAUGGAGCACAGGGUAAUUGGAGCAUAUCAAUGGCAGAUAGGACAUUUCAGAACAUAUCAGUUCAUAGCAAAUGGAGCACAGAGUAAUUGGAGCAUAUCAAUGGCAGAUAUGACAUUUCAGAACAUAUCAGUUCAUAGCAAAUGGAGCACAGAGUAAUUGGAGCAUAUCAAUGGCGUAUGAAAUGUUCCGGAGCAUAUCAACGACAUAUGGAACAUUUUGAAACAUAUCAACAGUGGAUGAAACAAUUCAGAGCAUAUCAAUAACAAAUACCGUACAGAAGCUCAAACGUCGUCUUUGACGUUGCAAACAUAUCAAUCUUAUCCAAAGCAUGUAUAGAAACACAUAACUAAAGCUCUGGAUAUCAUAUCAAACAUACAAAAGGUGUAGUGGGAUCUCAGUCAGAAUGUGAUUCAUCCAUUUCUGAAUGACCACCUGACAAAAGUCUCCCACGUCUGGGAGCUCCAUCCACCCACGUCUUGGUGAAGUCAAAGGGGGCCGGUAGAGCAUCGCAGGCUCUAAGCACAUACCCUUUACCAUUUCUGGCAAAGGUCCAGAAUAACACCCUUUACCAUUUCUGGCAAAGGUCCAGACAAUCCCACAACACCAGAGUACAAGAGGGCAGUUUUAACAAUAAGUAGCACAUAUCGGAAGCACACGCGGAACAACAAAACAUACAUGUGCCUUUACGAGUCAAUACGAAGUAAGCAAUAAUCUUUCACAAUGAUAUUUGGAUUUUGAAAGGAAAUGGAAUAGGCACAUAUCGAAAGCAAAUGCGGAACAAUGGGAUACACAUGUGCCUAAAUGAGUUAAUACGAUAUAGCAUAAACGUUACACAAUAGAUUUCAAGAAUGCAAAUAACUUCAAGGACAAGAGCAUACAAGAAUUCAAAGCAGUAAUAUAAAGCUCAAUUGAAUAAGAAGGCUAAAAGAUAUCAAUUUCCAAAGGAAUGAAACCAGAAUAUGAGAAAUCGACCAAAGCUCGAUUUCUGGCAGAAUACAAGAGGCACAUUGAACAGAUGAUUCAAACUAUCAAUCGUGCUCCAAUUUACUCAGAAAUAAUCAUUGGAUUAUACUUUCAGAUAAGACAGGCUUCAUAUGAAUCGAACUGUCCAACAGUGACAGUUACAAAUAAUUUGGUAAACAAGGGUCGUAGAACAAAAUCUCUGUUGGCAGAAUUCAUAAUGUCAAAUUCAACAGAUAACUGGGCAGGUGUUUGGAUUCCAAAUCUUUCAAUCCAUAUAUCAAAAGAAAGAUCUAUGAGUCUAGUUUCCAAUGAAAUAAGCUUUGAAUAAAUCCAUGUUUGCAACAGGGACUUAUAAGCAGUUCAGUAUCAAAAGGUUAGAAAUUACGAUCCCUGUUUUACAGAAUCUGUAGGCUCAUUUGAAACAGAAGUUUGGGUAGACAAACUUACUCUGAAUUCUUAAAAUAAGCUAUCAAAACAAAGGUUUAUGAGACUAUAUUCUGAUCAAAUAAGUUUUGUCCAAAUCAGAUGUCAAUACAUGAAGUUAUAAUCAUAACAAGGUAGAAAGGUCAGAAUCUUGGAAGUUGCACAGAUUCGAAUCGUUACGUCUAAACUGGAGAUAUAUCAAGUGCAAGGCUAGAACAAUUCAAAGUUCCUCAUAUUCAAAGCAAAUGUAGAGAUAAAAUUGCAGUGAGGAAAGAUCAGGAUACUUACAAUAGGAAAGAUUAGAACAAUUACAGGAGAAACGAACAGGAAACUUGCAAUAGGAAAUAUUAGAACAAUAACAGGAGAAACGAUUGGGAAACUUGCAAUAGGAAAGAUUAGAACAAUAACAGGAGAAACGAUUGGGAAACUUGC